GACGAGCCUCACAAACGUUAUUCGGAAUUACUGGGCUUAAAGGGUGCGUAGGCGGCGCAGUAAGUUGGGUGUGAAAUCCCUCGGCUUAACCGAGGAAUUGCGCCCAAAACUACUGUGCUCGAGGGAGAUAGAGGUGAGCGGAACUUAGGGUGGAGCGGUGAAAUGCGUUGAUAUCCUAAGGAACACCGGUGGCGAAAGCGGCUCACUGGAUCUCUUCUGACGCUGAGGCACGAAAGCUAGGGUAGCAAACGGG
rnacentral:rRNA from 1 species